UGACCUCAAAUCAGGUAGGACUACCCGCUGAACUUAAGCAUAUCAAUAAGCGGAGGAAAAGAAACUAACAAGGAUUCCCCUAGUAACUGCGAGUGAAGCGGGAAAAGCUCAAAUUUAAAAUCUGUCAGUCUUUGGCUGUCCGAGUUGUAAUCUAGAGAAGUGUUAUCCGCGCUGGACCGUGUACAAGUCUCCUGGAAUGGAGCGUCAUAGAGGGUGAGAAUCCCGUCUUUGACACGGACUGCCAGGGCUUUGUGAUGCGCUCUCAAAGAGUCGAGUUGUUUGGGAAUGCAGCUCAAAAUGGGUGGUAAAUUCCAUCUAAAGCUAAAUAUUGGCGAGAGACCGAUAGCGAACAAGUACCGUGAGGGAAAGAUGAAAAGAACUUUGGAAAGAGAGUUAAACAGUACGUGAAAUUGCUGAAAGGGAAACGCUUGAAGUCAGUCACGUUGGCCAGGGAUCAACCUUGCUUUUGCUUGGUGUACUUUCUGGUUGACGGGUCAGCAUCAAUUUUGACUGUUGGAAAAAGAUCAAGGGAAUGUGGCAUCUUCGGAUGUGUUAUAGCCCAUGGUUGCAUACAAUGGUUGGGAUUGAGGAACUCAGCACGCCGCAAGGCCGAGUAAUUUUACUACGUACGUGCUUAGGAUGC
rnacentral:rRNA from 2 species